rnacentral:misc_RNA from 1 species
UACGGGAAGCAGCAGUGAGGUACGGACAAUGGGGAAACCCUGAUCCAGCCAUCCCAUUGUUGAUGAAGGCCUUGGGUUGUAAAGCACUUUUGGUAGGAAAGAGCGGCACGGGAUAUUUUAUGCAAUACCUGCAGAAUAAGCACCGGCUAACUACGUGCCGACAGCCGCGGUAAUACGUAGGUGCAAAAGCGUUAAUCGGAAUUACUGGGCGUAAAGCGUGCGCAGGCCGGUUCGGAAGAAGAUGUGAAAUCCCAGAGCUUAACUUUGGAACUGCAUCUUCGCUACCGAGCUAGAGUGUGUCAGAGGGAGGUGGAAUUCCGCGUGUAGCAGUGGUAUGAGAGAUAUAGGAGAGACACCGAUGGCGAAGGCAGCCUCCUGGGAUAACACUGACGCUCAUGCACUGCGAAGAAAGCGUGGGAGCAACAGGAUUGAAUACCCCCCGUA